AGCGAACGCUGGCGGCAGGCUUAACACAUGCAAGUCGAGCGGGCGUAGCAAUACGUCAGCGGCAGACGGGUGAGUAACGCGUGGGAACGUACCUUUGGUUCGGAACAACACAGGGAAACUUGUGCUAAUACCGGAUAAGCCCUUACGGGGAAAGAUUUAUCGCCGAAAGAUCGGCCCGCGUCUGAUUAGCUAGUUGGUGAGGUAACGGCUCACCAAGGCGACGAUCAGUAGCUGGCUGAGAGGAUGAUCAGCCACAUUGGGACUGAGACACGGCCCAAACUCCUACGGGAGGCAGCAGUGGGGAAUAUUGGACAAUGGGCGCAAGCCUGAUCCAGCCAUGCCGCGUGAGUGAUGAAGGCCCUAGGGUU
rnacentral:rRNA from 1 species